ACCAGAACUUUCUAGAAAUCUCAAGAGGACAUGUCCUGGAUUCAGGUGGCACUGCACCACACACUCUAAAGUCACUGUGUUUGUGGGGAACAACUACAGACAUAGAUGGCACUAGGGGGUGCUCCUGUGAACCAGGGUUCCUGCCUAACCUACAGUCACAGGAAUCAAACAUGGUGCUCGGGGGGUCUCUCUGAGCCCAGAGAGACAGCCCUCACCCUAGCCCCAUGCAGUCUAUUGUUCUUAAAGAUGUUGCCCAAGCUUGGGGCAGUGCGGACUCUGCCACACAGGGCUCUGCCCUCAGCAGGACUCUGGUCAUUGCUGUCACCGGCUUGAAGUCCUUCCUUGCUUCCUUCCUUUCUAGACAGGGUCUCCUGUCCUCCAGACUGACAUCACACUCACUGUGUACUGGGGAACGGCCUUGUACUCCUGAUUCUCCUGGGAUAAGUGGUGUGAGCCACCAUGUCCGGUUUAUAUUGUUCUGAGGAGGAACCCAGGGCCUUGUGUAUGCCAGGCGUCAAAGCUCAGCCAGACCUUCCCAGGCCAAAGAUUCGCUGAGGAAAAUGCUGGUACUGGAACAGGGGCAGCCUCUCAUGGUGAAGACAUAGCCGUGUCCUGUCGUGGCUUUAAGACUGAGCUUAUACCAUGUGCAAUGGCUCAGCCUAUAAGGGUACUUUACUUUCUUCCCGAGGACCUGUGUUCAGUUUCUAGAACCCUCAGGGUGGCUCACAACCAUCUGUAACCAUCAACGGCUUUCUGCCCACAGUGCACAGACAUAGAUCAAGGCAAAGCAUUCAUACAUAUACCAAAAAUAAAUAUCAGAGACAAAAA